rnacentral:lncRNA from 1 species
UUUGUUUUUUGGUAAUUAACCUUGAAGCUGAAGUUGAUGGUUGUUGUAAACUCUUCUUGCUUUCUUUAUAUUUAUUUUUUGACAAGGUGUGAGACUGAUUCUCCUGAUCUUUUCUUAAAGAAGAAUUUUUGUAAACGUUGUCUAAUGGAAAUGAGACUGAUUCCCGAUUCAACAACUUUAAUGUUGUUUCUUUUGACACAAUAAUGAGAUUAAACAAAUACACACUGAUGCACUACCGGUCCCAAGUGAGGCGUUUACAGGCGUCAGCUGUGAGGUACUUGCACGAGAGACGAGAUCAUUUGUGGUGUAAUCUGUCAGAGAAUUACAAAUUAAUCUAGAGAGAUACUGCCUCCGUCCCAUAAUUCUUCUCAUGGUUUCAUUAGUUCAAAUUUGAACUAAAACCACCACAAGAAUUAUGAGACUUUUAUCUCAUAAACUAUGCAUAAACUAGAUCCAUGAAAAUUCUCUCGUUUCAAAAUUUUUCUUGUGGUUUUAUUAGUUCAAAUUCUCUCGUUUGAAAAUUUUAAAUUUUUAUCUCAUAAACUAUGCAUCCGAUUGACGAUCCGUUUUCACCGUAAGCUUAACCGCCAAGAUCUACAAAACUAGAUCCCAGGUUGAUAUGUUUUGACGAAUGUUUUCGUCAGAAGUUACAAGGUUACGAUCAAUUAUUUACCAUAUUGUGACCACGUGGUUGCCACAUUAAAUAUCACUUGUUUACCGAAAUAUAUUUACUUGUUUAUCAGUUUGCUUACUAUCAAUUUGCAACUACGUAAAGACUUGGAUCAUUAUACUUCUAUGAUAUGAUGACAUCUUUUACAUAUUCAAACACUUAAAUAUUCACUCUUGAGCUUGCAAGGCAUUGCAAUGUCUAAAACAUUUUUCUAAUUGGUAACCCUAUAUUAGUAAAGACUAUUAAUGAAGUGAUUAUUAAUAUGGUAAACGUUCACAAGUCACAUGGUAAUCAUGAGUGGUGUCAAGAAAAUAUCAUCAAAAUAUAUAUAAAAAAUGUGGUCUUGUUUUGAAGCACUCAUCGUGACGAACUCAACCGUGAAAACGGAUCUUUAAUCGGAUUAAUGGUUUAGAAGAUAGAUCAUUCUGUAAAUUCAAAAUUUAGUAUUCCUCUGAUCCUAAAUUCUUGACUCAAAUUUGCCCAAAUAUGGAUGUAUCUAUUCUUAAAAAGCGUCUAGAUACAUGUAAUAUAAAGACAACAAUUUAGGAUCGGAGAGAGUACUAAAUUAUUUUAGGCCCAGACCCACUAGAAUCCUCCCUAAGGAAAGGUUAGCCUCGCACGUCUUUUAAUUAGAUUAACCGUUCAUUCAUUUGAUUCAAAGGAAUAAUGGGAAGGAAAAAGUCAUGUGAUCUUAGAUUCAGUGAAAAAAAUACUGAGUGUUUACAAUCCACGUAGACCUCUUUUUUGAAUUUCUUCACAUGAAAAACAAGAAAACGUGUUUAGUGAAGUAAUUAUAUGAAAUUUAUUUUUGCAUGUGAUUUGACUUAAUUUUACCAUGUUUAUCAAGAUUAAAUUUUUUUCCUUUAUACUUAUGUGAAUAAAAUGUACGUUCCUCUAUUAUUCAUGUGUUUUCAAAAUCCUGUGAAUCAAAGAGACCCAUAGAAAAAAUUAAGCGUGACAAUGAGUUCCUUCGUGGUACCCUACCUUGGAGGUUUGACACAUCCUUGAUCACUCCAUGAUGCGCAAUUGCUCUACCAUGAGGACAAAUGUUACUUCUUCUGAUCCUAAAUUGUUGUCGAAAUAUUGCAUGUAUCUAGUAGCCUUUUUAAGAGUAGAUACAUCCAUAUUUGGACAAAUUUGAGACAAGAAUUUAGGAUCGGAGGGAGUAACCAUUUUUGUUCUUGGGUAGUUAAGGUCCUGGUCCUUUGGUGGCAAUUAUGGAAUGGUUCGCACUUGGUAUAAUCUAAUUUUCAUGGCAUUUAGGAAGGCGAGGGAGAAAGUAAUAGACAUCAUGCUUCUAAAUAUAGUACUACAUGGUUCUUGCAUUUUAGAGACCGGAAAACCUCCAAAGACAAAACCACAUGGUUCUUGCAUUGAAGAAGAUAAGGGAGGGAGAGAGAGAAAGAGACCAAAGCAUCUCCUCGAAAAAAACCUAGAACACUGCACAUCUAGAACAAACAAACCCAUCUCGUCUUUAUUGAAAAGCCACAUGAACAAAGCACUACUCCGUAUUAAAACACAACCUAGUUUAAAAAACCGGACCAUUCGUAAAUUAUUACGCACCAGACGGGAACCGAACUGGAGACUUCCCUAUAGAGAACUCCGCAGGCCCAGAUCUGACAACUCCGCACGUAACUCCUCCCUCGCCGCCGCCGGCGAUGGCGACAGCGACGGGGCCCUGGCUGGCAGUCACGUAAACCGAGUGGCGGCCGCAGCGACCGGCCACUUGCCACGUCUGCGGCAGCGGAGAGCUGCUCUGGCCGCGCGGUGGUGUCCGCUGUCAUGGCGAGACGUCGGUUUGCGGCGCGACUUCCAAACGGCGGCACGGACGAGAUCUGGGUGGUAGUCCUUCUCGGGGCGGCCGUGCGGUCCUUGGAGGCGGCGGCCCGUCGGCCCUGGCCGCGUUUGCGGUGGCGGCGGGCUGCUUUGGCCACGCGGUGCGGUGGCCUGCCAAGUCGCGGCGUCGGACGACGGGGCUGGCGGUCCAGGGGCGGCGGCGGCGGCCGUGCUUUGUUGCGUCUUGCGUUCCUCCAUCAGAUCGUUUUGUCGGCACUUUGUCUGCUUUGUUGAUGUUGUGGUGUCGGUGAUGCGGGUUUGGUACCGAGGGAAACUCUUGGUCGGCUUGCCCGACCACGACAGUGGUGACGUCCUUAGGGGACGUCAUUCUCCUUACAUGAGGCAUUGUCAAGGUAUUCCGACACCACCCCCGCUCCAGGUUCCCGAGUGAAAACCCAAAGUCUCCGGACUGGGCGGCGGCGCUUGCGGUGUCGCUCUCCCCCUUGUGUGCGCCGUUGGGGAACACUAGAUCUGCUGGUGCGGGGUUCUUAGUCGGCGGGUGCUCUUUUGCCGGUCGAGCUCUGGUUUGCGUCGUCGUUGCCAUGCCUAGCAAGUUUAGUGCGACAUUCUCUAUCCUGAAGAUGGGUCAGUGGAACACGGUGGCGGCUGAUUCUAAAGCGUGAGCAUACGACACAUGCUGGGAAUUAGUUUGAUCGGUUGUGCCUUCGUGGCCUCCGAAUUUAGAUGUUGGGUGAUGGUGUGCGGUUAGGGCACGGCCCGGAUAUUCGCUACACCUUUUAUCUGGUUAGUAGGUAUAGCGACGAAGAUGUAACUUCGACAAUGUCCAUAUUAGGUAUACUCGAGUCGAGUACGUGGUUAGUCAUAACACGUCAGUAGCCCCCAAGUGCCUGGUUGAAUCGAAGACUCGACUAGGGACUUUUCCCGUAAAGAAUGAGCUUAUUCUGCUGUUGAGCCAGUUGCAUAGUGCUGUAGACUUUGGUACUUUACCGACUCGUACUUUGAAUGAGAAUUAUUUUGACUCAGAAAAUUUCUGAGGUGAUACUUUAGUGUUUAACUGUUAAAUAUGAUCUGAUAGUGGAUCAAUGCGGUGAUUAGGAGUCAUAGGGAUAUAUGCUUAAUGCGCCCAGAUACUCGAGAAGUCGAGUCUAGUUAAUCGCUCUAGAGCGAAUACAACACUAGCUUUUCAUUCGCAUUCGAGUUCCCGGGCUCGAACCUGGCGACUGGAGAAUUUUGACUUAGCCUGCUGGGGUCUUAUAGAGUCAAAUUCCAGUUUUUAAGUACUCGACUCGUUCGUCAAGAUUGCUUGAACUGGAAAUACGCAGCUGGUACGUUUACAGUCCCUAUAAGAAGCCUACGUGUCUUAUCUUCAUGUAAUGAACAUGGUUGCAGGGAGCGACCCUUAAGUGAAAGUUGUUACCUUCAUACAAUAAGUAUGGAUUUGACUUGAAAUAACGUAGCUGCUAUGUUUCCAGGCCCGUAAGAGAACUUUUGGGUCUUAUCUUUAUGCAAUGAGCAUGGAUCUACUGAAAUACGCAGCUGGUACGAUUUCAGGCUCUUUGGACGAGACUCAAGAGGCUUACUGUUAUGCGAAUGAGCAUAAAUAACUGAGGUGCCGUAGCUGGUGCGACUCAAUUGAGUCGAUUAUAUGAAAUCGACUGUCUUCUGCCAGGGUCAUUACCCUGUUUUUACUUUUGUGAAUAAAGAAUAAACAAUAGAUGACUAUAUGAAGUCUUUAAUAUAAAGCGACAACUGAUUAAUUCGCGACUUGAAUGAGAGUCUUUAGUAUUCAUAAUCGAGACUCAAGACGAGUCCCAACAUUCUUAUGAUACAACUCCACCUCCCUAUAUGGGAGAUAUGAGAGAUAGCUUUUGAGUCAUGAUAUUUGAGUCAGACUCCGUCACUGAUGACGUACCUGUUGAAGGUGAAGAGCCAUUGGGUCAACAGAUGUGACCGGGUGCACAGUCUAGCCUGACAGCUAGGUGUACUGUUGGCGUGCGUCAAUGGGAAAACGGUCACACUUCACGCAGUAAAUAUGGCAUAAUGAUUUUAUGAAUUCCUGCGCCCGAAAGAGGGGUGGCCGUUUCUGUUUUCACCGCUUCACAUCCCGGUCGAUGUGGGACACGUGGCCAAGAUAAAGAUCUUGCGGCCCGGAUUCUUCGGCCGGAUUUAGCCUAUAAAAGGAGGAAGGUGAAAAGGGAAUGCCUUUUACCCUUCUUCUUCCUCGCGAAAUCAGCUCAGGCGCUAGAGCUCUCUGCUUCCAUAGCCCAAAAACUGUUGCGAGUUCCUUCAACGACCAAGAAUCCCACACCAUCCAGAGAUGGGCAAGACCAAGACCGCGGGUUCUAAGACCGAUGCCGGCAAAAGAGAUGCCGGAAGGGAGUCGUUCCCUGGCCCGUGGUGGCCGACAAUCGCAUCAAGAUCCUGGAACUCCAGGACGUGGGAUUGUUGCCGGGGGGGGGGGGGGGGCUGAUGAGGUUCGCUUCCGGGCAAAGGAGGAGUACCCGCUACCGUUGCUAGGUGAGCGGGUUGUCUUCCUCGAUUAUGUGCUGCGAGGGCUCUCUUUUCCCCUUCAUGCCUUUUUCCAUGCUAUGCUGCUAGCCUAUGGGCUGCAGCUUCACAAUCUGCCCCCCAAUUCUUAUUUGCAUGUUGCGUGCUUCAUCACACUGUGCGAAUGCUUCUUGGGGGUGAGCCCUCAUUGGGGGCACUAGAAGCGGAUCUUUAUGAUCAAAAGCUAGAAGGUGGAGGCCGUUGGGAGCGUCAACUUCCAGGUACGGCCCGACACCAAAUACUUCUCCCUCCAGCAGCGCGAAUCUGUGCAAGGCUGGAGGUUGAAGUGGUUCUACAUCCGAUCUGACGCCCCGGGUGCCGAUCCAAGUCUUCUUGCCUUCUCAAUCAAGAAGAAGAAAAAGAAGACGGCGGCAUGGAGCCACGAACUGACGCCUGCAGAGGAGUCUGAGGCGACUCCCUUGAUGGCUAAGAUGCACUUCCUUAUGGGACAGGGGUUGACAGGUGUUCACCUGAUAGCUCUGUUCCUCAGGAUGAGGAUCCAGCCGCUGCAAGCUCGUGUUCACCCGAUGUGGUCCUUCGAAGGACCCGGGGAUCCCACUCGGGUGAAUGCGGAAGAACUAUAUUUGAACGAACUGGAGUCGCGGGUGCAAAGGUUAACGACCCUGAUCGACGUGACUCCAGGCAAGAUUGACUCGCGAGUAGUCGCUUUUGGCCCUGACAGGCCGAGGGAAAAGGUAAUUUAUAUUUCUGCCAUUUUGAGCUUGUAUUUGUAAGCUACUGAUCCGCUUGCUGGUUGUAGGGAUUCGAAGAUCCCUUGAGUCAACCUCCUCCUGCAUGGGAGGAGGAGCUGGCCGAUGAGUCCUCGGAGUCGCCGGAGCAGGCGAGCCACUCCGAGACUGAAGAGGUUGCCCUGGAGACGAGGAGGAAGCGCAGCAGGGAGUCAAACCCCAAGUCUGAUGAUCAGUCGACGGGUGUCGAGGGUCCCUCAUCUCCUCCUCUUGCAGCCAAAAAGACCAAGACAGGCGGCCCAGCGCCUUUUCGCCGAUUUGGCCUUCUUGGCCGAGUCACCCAGGCCAGGUAGGUGGUUCUUCAUACAUCAGCUCUCCAAAUAGUGCAAUCUAAAUACUGAACUAGCUGUUUUCCUUUGCCAGCUCUGUGGCCUCAGGUGACCAACCAACGACCCAGGCUAUUGAGCCCACUGGGUCGGACCCGAAAACUUCGGGUCCCUCAAUCGUCGUCGAGACGUUUGAGCCUCAGGUAUCGAUGCCUGAGGCGCCUUCUCCACUGAGUGUGGAGCAUCAACCCCAAAGGUUGUCCCGCUAGUUGACACACUUGGAGAGGCAUGGAGCCGGAACGGUUUCCUCGACUUCGGCUUGUCAUGUAAGUCUUGAGUCCUUUUGUCAAGUAAACUUCUUUUGUUAAAAUUUUUACUCUCCCGGUGGGAUUAUGAGUCAGAUGCUGACGUAAUCACUGUCGCAGCCGAUCAUCCGCUCCAUAACGGAGUUUGUUGAUCGCUAUGAUGCGGUGACGGCUGAGCGAGAUCAGCUUCGCCAAGACUUGGAGCGAAGCCAGCAAGAGCUGAGGUCUGCUCAAGGUAAUGCUUCCAGCUUAGUCUUUCUUUGAGUUGAAAAACUAUUGUGUCUUACUGUUUUGUCGUCUAGAUCUCCUUUCUCAGGCUAACUCCCUCAAAGACGCCGCCGAGCUUCAAUCCAAGAGCUUAGAGAAGAAGCUUGCUGAUCUGGCCAGGGAGUCGAAAGAGAAGCUAGAGGCUGAAAAACGCCUUGCCUAAGAAGCUUCGGGCGCCCUUCUCGCCAAGGAGGCCGAGAAGGAGAAGACGAGAUUCGUCCGACUCCAAGGAGUCAUUGGUCCCCUCACAGGUAAGAAUAUCGUAGUUGAAUCCACUCAUUUGGAUAUAUUGUUAACGCUUUGGCUCUUUUGCAGGCCUGGUUUCCUUGUCUGGUCUCCUACCUUCGAGUGAAAGUUCACUCGACCGGGUGAUUGACGCUGCGGCACGCGUCUGCUUUGGAGCGGCGACUGGAGUCCAGGGAACCUCCCGGGUGCUCACCAGUUUGUUCGGGAAGAUGUUUCUUGACGAGCCGGUGCCUGAAUCGCUAGGGAAACUCGUAGAGUUUUUCAGCGCUGACCUGGAUCCUAUGGACGAGUUUAGCCGGGUUCAGACCAACUCCGGUGCGGAGUCGACGUUCGUGUUAGCGUUAGCACACGGUGUCGGCGAGGACGUGUUGCGGAAGGUGGCUUUGGGCGUUCCCUUGUUACCUAGAGGGGAGGAGGUAGCUUUGACACCUUACUUCCAGCUCAGGGAAGAGCUGGCGGCCCAGCUGUCGGCUCAGCUGGGGAGCAUGGCAUCUAAGGGAGAGGUGGCUCUGCCAUCGUCCACUCCUGCGCCGAGCCAGGAGGUGGGCCAAGCUUGAGGCAUAGACUUCUUUAGGCUUUCUCCUGUCCUCUAUGUAUUUUCCCCCCUUUUUUUGUAUCGUUUUUGCUCGAAUGUCAGCAUUAUCAAUAAAGAAACAUCCUUGUUCCUUUGCACUGAUAUGAGUCGGACUCCUUCCUUUUAGUUAAGACUCGUGUCUUUGAAUCAUUUCAGGGACUGAAAAGGGGGUAUUUCUCUUCUGCAGCGGUAGAAACAGACCCCGACUUUGACAGUCGAGGUAGACACAGAGAGGGUUGUGACACCUAAGUCGAAUAUCGUGAGAGCCACGUUCUCGGCUUAGAUGCUCCCUUCAAAAACCUCGGAGUCGACAGCUCCAAAGGAGGUUCCUUCCCUGAAAUGAUUCAAAGACAAGACUCGAAGGGAACUAGAGUUCCUUCGUCGAUGCCUCCAAGAAGCCGAAAACCCGAGCCAAAAACUUGGCGAUGGAGAGUCGGAGAGCCGCGAGCGAGUUUCAGAUUACCAAGACCAAGUUGAAAGCGGCUGCCGCACGGGAAGAGUUUAUCUUCGAGGAGCUUCGCGGGCUGAGUUCUCAGCUUCAAUGUGACCCACUGCCUCCUUUUUGCUUGGAUCUUCUUCUUUUCGGCUUAUCCUUUACAAACAAGAGUUGUUUGCAGAUGUGCAAGCCGACCCGUGAGCUAAGCAAAAUCGGGUAAACAGUGCCCCGAACGCUCGUCAGACGAUCGAUCAUCAUUCUGGUCUGACCGAGCGAGGGUCAUGAGCUGAUGCUUUUGUGAGACCACAUAGAUAAGAAUAAAAGCUUCUUCAACUCCCACUUAGAGACUUUGAAGGCAAUUCAUCAGGCAUUCUGGCCCUUGGAGGAGGUGCCCCAAGAGCUGAGCAAGCUGACCCGAAAGCUUGGGUAAGAUAGCGUCUUUCGGGAGCUGAUGUACCGUCAGCUGGUCCGGGGGGCGAAGAUACUGUUAGAAAGGAAGUUCGACCCGUUGUCGGUGAUAAUGUUGUGAGGUACUCCAAAGCGGAAUACGAUGGAGUGAACGAAUGCGAUGGCAGUCAUUCCCGUGGCGUUUGUGAUGGGCAUUGACACUAUCCAUUUGGUGAACUUGUUGAUUGCGACAAGCAGAAAAGUAUGACCCCCUUCUUUUGAUCGUUGAAGUGGCCCGACCAUGUCGAGUCCCCAUUGAGCGAAAGGCCAAGCCAAUGGUAUUGUUUUGAGUUUGGAAGCCAGGCCAUGCGGCUUAGUUGCGAACAUCUGGCAGGCCACGCAUCGGGUGAUGAUGUCGUCGGCGUCCUGCAUCGCUGUCGGCCAGUAGAAGCCGGCUCGAAAAGGCUUUGCCGCAAUAGUGCGGCUGCUUGCAUGGUGACCGCAUGUGCCCUGGUGUAUGUCGAUCAAAAUCUCCCAUCCUUCCUCAGGUGGAAUGCACCGUUGAGGGACGCUGGAGAUGCUUCGCUUGUAGAGCUCACCUUCAAUGACGAUAAAAGCUUUAGACCGUCUAGCAAUUUGACGUGCUUCUGCGACGUCUGCAGGUAGCUCUUGUCGUAUCAUGUAUACAAGAAAGGGUUGCAUCCACGGCUCGACCAUGAGCACCUCAUCGGGUUCUUCUUCACCGGUUGCGACUGCAGGGUCGUCCGGUGAGUCAGGGUCGAGAGGUUUUUGCUCACCGUCGAUUAGUGUUGACUUCUUGGGACUCGAAGUAUUCUUUUCUUUGAUGGAUCUCUGGUGCAUGAUCUCUAGGAAUACUCCAGACGGGAUUGGGGAACGAGUCGAGCCGAUGUUGGCCAAACUGUCCGCUUCGUCAUUGCUGUUUCGGCCAAUGUGAUGCAGCUUGCAUCCGUCGAACUGGCCUUCCAGUACGUUGUAGAGAUCGCGAUAAACAAUCAUGGAAUCGGAGAUGGUGUCACACGACUUCAUCUGUUGCUGAACGACGAGGUAUGAGUCGUCGUAUCAUGAGCCUUGUGGCCCCGCAAGCUUUGGCCAUGCGCAUGACAUGCAAGAGGGCCUCGUACUCGGCUUCAUUGUUUGAAGGGUUUUGAAAAUGCAUCUGAAGCACGUAGCGGAGUCUAUCACCUUUGGGUGAAAUAAGCACAACACCCGUGCCUGCACCUUCAUGUCGCUUUGACCCAUCGAAAUACAUCGUCCAUGAGCUUGACAUGUCGGGCAGGCUCGGAGUCUGAGCCUCUGUCCACUCGGCAAUGAAGUCAGAGAGCACUUGUGAUUUGAUCAACUUCUGUCGUUCGUAGGUUAUGUUGCGAGCUGAGAGCUCGAUUCCCCACUUGGUGACUCGUCCCGUCGCUUCAGAGUUGUUCAAUAUGUUGACGAGAGGAGCCUCGCUGACAACCACAACUGUGUGUUGCUGGAAAUAGUGUCUUAACUUGCGUGCUGUUAGAAAGACUCCAUACGCAAGCUUUUGAUAGUGUGGGUAGCGUUGCUUUGUAGGCGAGGGGACCUCACUGAUGUAAUAGACUGGACGCUGAACACCGUGGGUCUUACCAUCUUCGGCUCGCUCAACUACAAUCGUUGUGCUGACCACCUGAGUGAUGGCUACGAUGUAUAAUAGGAGCUGCUCAUCUUCUUGUGGGGCGACGAGGAUCGGCGAGGUUGACAAUAGGUGCUUCAAGUUUGCGAAAGUAGCACUGGCCUCUGGCGUCCACGCGAAGUCGUCUUUCUUCUUUUUCAGAAGCUAGUAGAAAGGCAAGGCUUUCUCACCUAGCCUACCGAUGAAUCGGCUCAGGGCCGCGAGUCGACCGGUGAGCUGCUGGAGCUCAUGAAUUUUAGUCAGCUCCUUUAUGGUUAGGAUGGCUCUGAUUUUUGUCGGGUUUGCCUCAAUGCCUCGAGCCGACAGAAAGUGUCCAAGGAUUUUCCUGGCAGGUACUCCGAAGGUGCAGACGUGGCCUGCUGGCGCUGGAUACGACUCGACAGCAGCAAGUGUUUGCUCCGAAGAGUGGUUCAUUACCUCGACCAAGUUAGCCUGUAGUACGUGGGCCGAUGAGACUCCAAUGGCCGGACUCGCCGGUGUCGUCAUGACGGCCCUAUUGCUGGGGUAAUGAGGAUAACUCAUUUGUGAGUUUGUUUGUUGUGCUCUGGUGAGCUCGAGGUGUAACUCUUUGAAUCGUCUGCACUCCCGCAGGGGAUGGCUAGGGUUGAUGUUGCCCUGUUCAUCUUUGUAAACAUGGAAUGGGCAAGAGGCCAUCAACUGCUGAGAGAGCGUAGGUUGGCCUCCGUUGCAUCGCCACUGAGGCUUAGGCUCGCGGAUUUCGCCGCUGCGGUAACCCUCCACGUGCGAAGUGGCUGCGAUGAGAUCAGGCGAGGCUAGUUCUUCGUGUGUAGAAUAAUAGUUUUUGGUAUACUGUGUGCUAAGUAUUCUUUUCCUAUCAAUGAACUUUUCAUAAAAGAAUUCUCAUAAUAAAAUAUGAGAAUUCUUUUAUGAAAAGUGAAGUAUUCUUGCAAUAGGAUUUAAAACUUCCACCUAUCUUAUCCAAAAUCAUUGCUUUAAGGUUGGUAAAUCCUAUUAAUAAGAGCAUAAAAGCUUUCAUUCUAUAAAUUUGUCUAAAAUAAAAAAGGGUUUCUAUUUAAUCAUGAAAUUAAAAUGCAUAAAUAGAAAAGAGUUUUUGGAUUUUCUCCAUUGUAUCAAAAGAAUUUAAAAAAUGGAAACGAGAAACUAAUUAAAAAAAAAUUUCUUCUAUAUUCCAACUUAGAAAAAAGGAGUUCCAACUCUUUCAAGCAGUGUUUCUAUUAGGCAAAGCAAGAGUUUAUUGUAAAAAAAAUCGCAAUGAUACUACCAAACGAAGUCUAUUUAAAUGAAGACUCUAAUGUUCCUAAAUUUUAUGGACUUUCCCAAUCUGGACGGUUCGUGAGAUAAUAACUAUUAUUCUUUUAAGUUACCUAUUAUUUGAAGUUAGCCGCCAUGGUGAAAUUGGUAGACACGCUGCUCUUAGGAAGCAGUGCUCAAGCAUCUCGGUUCGAAUCCGAGUGGCGGCAUUCUCGAAAAAGAAUACAAUAGAUUAUAAAAUGGAUUCAAUUCGAAAUUUACAAUUUUGUAAUGGGACCUUCCCCUUAUGCUAUUUGCAACUUUAGAACAUAUACUAACUCAUAUUUCUUUCUCAACCAUUUCAAUUGUGAUUACGAUUCAUUUGAGAGCCUUAUUAGUUCGUGAACUUGGGGGAUUACGCGAUUCGUCAGAAAAAGGAAUGAUAGCUACUUUUUUCUCUAUAACAGGAUUCCUAGUUUCUCGUUGGCUUUCUUCGGGACAUUUUCCAUUAAGUAAUUUAUAUGAGUCAUUGAUCUUCCUUUCCUGGGCUCUGUAUAUUCUUCAUACGAUUCCUAAGGUACAGAACUCUAAAAAUGAUUUAAGCACAAUAACUACGCCAAGUACUAUUUUAACGCAAGGCUUUGCCACGUCAGGUCUUUUAACUGAAAUGCAUCAAUCCACAAUACUAGUACCCGCUCUACAAUCUCAGUGGUUAAUGAUGCAUGUCAGUAUGAUGUUACUAAGCUAUGCAACUCUUUUGUGUGGAUCUUUAUUAUCUGCCGCUAUUCUAAUCAUUAGAUUUCGAAAUAAUUUCAAUUUUUUUUCUAAAAAGAAUAAAAAUGUUUUAAAAAAAACAUUUUUAUUUAGUAAGAUGGAAUAUUUCUAUGCAAAAAGAAGUUAUUUUAAAAGCGCCUCUGUUCCUUCAUUUCCAAAUUAUUACAAAUAUCAAUUAACUGAGCGUUUGGAUUCUUGGAGUUAUCGUGUGAUUAGCCUAGGAUUUACCCUUUUAACCAUAGGUAUUCUUUGUGGAGCAGUAUGGGCCAAUGAGGCGUGGGGAUCCUAUUGGAAUUGGGAUCCUAAAGAAACUUGGGCUUUUAUUACUUGGACCAUAUUCGCAAUUUAUUUACAUAGUAGAACAAAUCAAAAUUGGAAGGGUACGAAUUCCGCACUUGUAGCUUCGAUAGGAUUCCUUAUAAUUUGGAUCUGCUAUUUCGGUAUCAAUCUAUUAGGAAUAGGUUUACAUAGUUAUGGUUCGUUUACAUUAACACCUAAUUGAUUACAUAAAAUAAAACCUUCAUUUCAUUAAGGUUUUUACUUUUUCGUUUUAUUUGAGAACCCCUUGAGCGCCUUCUCAAAGGGUUCUCAAAAAUGCGAGAUAGAUCUAAUUAGACUUUUUUAUUUUUUUUUCUCCAUUAAUAGAGCGGGCUAGUUAAAAAAACCUAUUUAGGGUAAUAAUUGGAUAAGAGAGCCUCCACCCUGUCAACGGAUAGGGAGAGAACAAAAUCUGGAUAAAUACCAAUUCCUAUUACUGGUAAAAAGAUACAGAUUAAAAGAAAGAGUUCUCGUGGUCCAGAAUCCAUAAAAUUUGCGUUUGGAACAUUAAAUAGUUUGUAUCCAUAGAACAUCUGGCGUAACAUAGAUAAUAAAUAAAUAGGAGUUAAUAUCAUUCCAAUUGCCAUUACAAAAGUAAUUAGCGUUUUUGGCAUUAACAGAAAUUUUGGACUAGUAAUUAGUCCAAAAAAUACUAAUAAUUCUGCGACAAAACCGCUCAUUCCUGGUAAUGCAAGAGAAGCCAUUGAAAAGCUACUAAACAUGGUAAAAAAUUUCGGUAUUAGAAUAGAUAUCCCCCCCAGUUCUUCGAGAUAAACAAGACGCAUUCUAUCACAAGCCGUUCCUGCCAAGAAAAAAAGUGUAGCGCCAAUAAAUCCGUGGGAUAAUAUUUGUAAAAUAGCUCCAUUGAGUCCAAUGUUGGUUAUGGAACCAAUUCCUAUAAUUAUGAAACCCAUGUGAGAUACAGAGGAAUAGGCUAUUCUUUUUUUGAAAUUUCGUUGACCAAGAGAAGUUGAGGCUGCAUAGAUUAUUUGGAUCGCUCCUAUUAUUACCAACCAGGGCGAAAAUAGAUAAUGAGCAUGAGGUAACAAUUCCAUGUUGAUACGAAUCAACCCAUAUGCUCCCAUCUUUAAUAGGAUUCCCGCUAAAAGCAUACACGUACUAUAAUGUGCUUCCCCAUGGGUAUCUGGUAACCACGUAUGGAGGGGUAUAAUCGGCAAUUUGACAGCAUAAGCAAUAAGGAAGCCAAAAUAUAAAAGUAUUUCCAAGGUUGCAGGGUAUGAUUGAUUAAUUAAUCUUUCCAAAUCUAAUCCCGGUUCGUUGGAACCGUACAAGCCCAUACCCAGAACUCUAAACAAAAAAAGGAUUUCCAAAAUAGAUCAUAGAUAAUUCUAACAAUUGCCAAUAAAUCCCGGCUUUUUACCAAGUUGAUGGUAAGAAAUCCCGGGACCUAGAAAUUCAUUUCGUACAAUUGAACCUUUUCAAACUGUUUCUUUUUGAGAACCAAAAAAACUUGUGCCAAAAUAACGGAUGCGAAGAAGAACAAAAGGCCUUGGACGCGUAAUGGAUCCUGAAGCACUAUUUCUGCAUCCCCCUGACCAAAUCCUCCCACAUUGGGAUUACUUGUUAAUGGUUGAUCAAGCUUGAUGGAUUCCCCCUCUGAAACAAGAAGUUCUGGCCCGGGAGGUAUAAUAUCAAUCAAUUGGCGUCCAUCCGAUGCAUCCACUAUGGAUAUUUCAUACCCCCCUUUUUCUUUACGUAGUAUUUUUUUUACUAUACCUGUUGACGUAGCAUUAUAGACCGUAUUGUUACUCUUGCUACCAUCAGGAUAGAUCUGCCCUCUUCCUCGGUUUCCCCCUACAUAUAUGGGAUAUUUUAAGAAAUGAGCAUCUUUCUUCGUAGCAGGAUCAGGGGAAAGAAUGGGAAAGACAAUUUCACUAUAUUUCUUACCGGGAACAGGGCCUAUCACAAGAAUAUUUUUUUUAUCGGGACGAUAACUCUGAAAAGAGAGAUUUCCUAUCUUUUCUUUCAACUCAGGGGAAAUACGGUCGGGCGGCGCUAAUUCGAAUCCCUCGGGCAAAAUAAGAACAACACCCACAUUUAACCCUCCCUUUUUCCCAUUAGCAAGAACUUGUUUCAGUUGCAUAUCAUAAGGAAUUCGGAGAACUGCUUCAAAUACAGUAUCGGGAAGCACAGCUUGGGGAACUUCAAUAUCCACGGGCUUGCUAGCUAAAUGGCAAUUGGCGCAUACAAUUCGUCCAGUUGCUUCUCGUGGGUUUUCAUAACCCUGCUGCGCAAAAAUGGGAUAUGCAUUUGAAAUAGAUGUCCGAGUUAUUACGUAUAUCAUGAUCGAUACAGAAAUCGAUCGAGUCAUCUGUUCCUUUACCCAAGAAAAAGUAUUUCUAUUUUCCAUGUCCAAUCGCAGAUCCCAGAAUUUCUACAAUAAAUUAGAUAGGUAGCUAAGCUAAUCUAGUUCCCUAUACACGAGUCUGUUGUCAUUCUACUGCAACAGUUGUACCGGAAUGAUGAAUACCUUUAAGCAGGUAGAAAUAGAAAGAAUUUUGCUAAAAUGGAAAGGGGCCUUUUUCUAAAGAAAGAAAGAUGCUAAUUUGAUUAAUAUCAGGAGAUCAAAUGAAUUUAUGCUUCACUAAUUGAAUGAUAAAUGACUACAAGCGAAGGGGAUAGACGGUUUAAACAAAAAAAGACCCAAAAUUUCAAACAUGUAUCUAGAAUUACUGGAAAACUACAAACAAAAAUAGUAAAAAUUAGCUCGUUAGGAGCCCAUCCAAGAUCGUUGUAGACCCAACGAAUGACUAGUUCCCAACCCCGGGUGGAGUGAAAUCCAACAAAAAAAUCAGUAACCAAAAGGAUAAAAAAAGCUUUUAUUGAGUCAUUUAAGUUAUGGAAGAAUUCCUGAACCCAAGAAUUCCAAAUGACAAGUUCCUCUUUACCAAAAAAAAAAAGAACUACUUAGAAUAGCCAAACAGAUUAUAUUUGUCGAGAAAUGCAAAAUGAUAUGGAGAUGAUCUUCAUUAUCUAUUUUGACCCAUUGUAUUAUUUCCUUGUGUAUUCCUAUAGGAGGUUUUUGUACAUGUGUCUUUGGUUUCUCUUUUAUCAUCUCGUCCAAGAGAGAAAGUUCUUCUAAUUCUAUGAAUCUUUCUAGAAUCCUUUUCUCUUGAAUAUCAGUUAAGAGAGUUUCAGAUUGUCUGGUAUUCCACCAAUUCUUAAUCCAAAGUUCCAGACAUUUGUUAACUGAGAAAGAGGCCCCCCAGGGCAAAAGUACGAUAAAUACAAGAUAUAGUAAAGAAGGCAAUGCUUUCUUUUUUUUCAUUUUUGAUCUAUAAAUUGAGUUGUUAAUGAAUCCGCUUCAUUCGCUGACUCUAUGAUGAUAUUUUUUUUUCUUUGAAGCAAAAACUCUAUAGCAAGGUUUGAGACCCUGUAUCUAUUCUUCUUUUUUGUAUUGUAUAUUAGUGGAAUUUCAUUGCAUUGGGUUCUUUCUUAUAUCUAGAUGGAGUGGAAUAGAAAAAAAGAUGAAAAUGGAAAGAAUAGUAUGCCAUAUAUCCCACUUGGGCAAAAUAAAUUUAAAGAAAUUUUAUCUUAUCCUCGUUUGUUCCUUCCUUUAGAUAAAUACUAAAAAAGCCCCUUACAAUACAAUAACAAAUCAAAUUUCGGAGGGACUUCCUCCCCAUGUUGAGAAAACUUUUCUUCUUCCAAUUCUUCUUCAUUCUAUUCAGUUCCAAAAAAUACAAUGGAUAUUCAAAAUACUUCAAUUGGUACGCGCAAGAAAUAGGCCAAUUCGGCAGCUUUUUGUUCAAUUUCUCGUGGAGUAAAAAACUUAUCAUCAGUACGAGUCAAGGGAAUGACCCCCUGGCCCCGGAUUUCCAUAUAAAGGAUACGACGAGGAUAAAAACCCUCUUUAACCUGAAUUCUAAUUGAUUGGAUAUCCCGCAUAAGGAAUCGAAGGAAGACGCGACGUUUUAUUCCAGGGAAUCCCCAACGAAAAAUGCACACGAUUCCCUCUUUUCUAUCGAAUCGGUCAUAACCACUACCUACAUUCCACAAAAUAGCACACCACAAGUAGGAGCUAAUGAAUAAGCCCGCGAUUCCGUAGAAAGACAUCACGACUCCCUGCGGAAAAAAAAGAAUUUGUUGAGAUGGAAGUAUAGAUAUCAUAUUCUUACCAAGAUAACUGGAAACCCCAACUGAUAAGAAUCCUAGUGAACCUAGAAAAAGAAUAGAGGCCCAGAAAAAAUUACCCCUUUUUCGAGAACCUUUUAGAAGUUCUACCCAUAUGUGUUCUGAUCGCCAAUUCAUAUUAGAUAUACUAAAUCCAGCAGCAGUCGAUUGAAAUUGAGAGAAUAAGCUAAAUGAUUUUGACUUUACUUUUUUUGAUUCUGAAAUCGCCUUCAGCAACGAGUACUCUUGUGAAAUAAUAGGUUAGAUACACUGACUUUCUAUUCAAAAAAUAUUCGUUGAUUCAAUUAAAAUAAAAAUAGCUAUACCCGGCUCCGCAUAUUCAUGCAUUUAUGCUUGUAGCCUAUAUCCGCAUCCAUAGCCGUUUUUCAUUUGUGUGUAGAAAGAGCCACAUACCCUACCAUAUUCUAUUACUUACACUUACUUACACUAAAAAAAUACUAGACAAUCUUAUUUUUCUGCACAUAAAGAAAUAAAGAAGCCAUUGCAAUUGCCGGAAAUACUAAGCCUACUAAAGGCACGAAAAUCGAAGGUAAGUUUAAAUCCGUCAUAGAAUAGGUGUCUCAAUUCAAAUUAACUAUUUCUAUCUAUUCGAAAAAUGUCUUAAGAUUCUUAUGAUAUAAUUAAGUAUAUCUAUUAUGAGUAAUAUUGACUAUUGUAUUUUUUAGUUUGCAAAAAAAAAAAAAUUUUAUAGAAGACUUUUUUUCUGUAAAUACUGCGUAUUUGAUUCUAUUAUCAUAUGAUAAUAGUAUAUUUGAUUUGUAUUUAUUUAUUAUACCUUUAUAUAUUCUAGAUAUAUAGAAUAGGCGAAUCUCGAUUUGUGAAGUCUCAUGAUCGUAUCAUGAUCCAUUUUUAUUCGGCUCAAUCUUUUUUUUUAGAAAAAAAAAGAUUGAGCCGAGUUUAAUUGCAGUCAAUUAGAAGAAUAAAGAAGAAUUACUGCAUUUCGUAACUUAUUUUUUCUCUUUUUAUUUUGUUUCUUUUUAUUUAGACCUUCUUCAUAUUUAGUUUUAUCUACUAAUCGAUAGUAUCUACCGGCGCGAACUCGAAUUUGAUCGCCUUCCAUACUUCACAAGCUGCGGCUAGUUCAGGACUCCAUUUGCAAGCUGCUCGGAUAAUUUCAUUACCUUCACGAGCAAGAUCGCGCCCUUCGUUACGAGCUUGUACACAGGCUUCUAAAGCCACUCGAUUAGCUGCUGCACCAGGUGCAUUUCCCCAAGGAUGUCCUAAAGUUCCUCCACCAAAUUGUAAUACAGAAUCAUCCCCAAAGAUUUCGGUCAGAGCUGGCAUAUGCCAAACAUGAAUACCACCUGAAGCUACUGGUAUAACACCUGGCAUGGAUACCCAGUCCUGAGUGAAAAAGAUACAGCGAGCACGAUCUUUUUCAAUAAAAUCGUCGCGCAAUAAAUCAACAAAACCUAAAGUGAUUUCGCGUUCCCCUUCUAACUUACCUACUACUGUACCGGCGUGGAUAUGAUCUCCCCCAGACAUACGCAAUGCUUUAGCUAAUACACGGAAAUGCAUACCAUGAUUUUUCUGUCUAUCAAUAACUGCAUGCAUUGCACGGUGAAUGUGAAGAAGUAAGCCAUUGUCGCGGCAAUAAUGAGCCAAAGUAGUAUUUGCGGUGAAUCCCCCAGUUAAGUAGUCAUGCAUUACAAUAGGAACACCUAAUUCUCUCGCAAAAACAGCUCUCUUCAUCAUUUCUUCACAUGUACCCGCAGUUGCAUUCAAGUAAUGCCCCUUGAUUUCACCGGUUUCCGCCUGUGAUUUAUAAAUAGCUUCGGCACAAAAGACAAAACGAUCUCUCCAGCGCAUAAAUGGUUGUGAGUUUACGUUUUCAUCAUCUUUGGUAAAAUCAAGUCCACCACGUAGACACUCAUAACACGCUCUACCGUAAUUUUUUGCAGAUAAUCCCAAUUUUGGCUUAAUAGUACAUCCCAAUAAAGGACGACCAUACUUGUUCAACUUAUCUCUUUCCACUUGGAUACCGUGAGGCGGGCCUUGGAAAGUUUUUGAAUAAGUAGGGGGAAUUCGUAGAUCCUCCAGACGUAGAGCACGUAGGGCUUUGAAACCAAAUACGUUACCUACAAUGGAAGUAAACAUGUUAGUAACGGAACCCUCUUCAAAUAGAUCUAAUGGAUAAGCUACAUAACAGAUCCAUUGACUGUCUUCCCCAGGAACAGGCUCGAUGUGAUAGCAUCGUCCUUUGUAACGAUCAAGACUAGUAAGUCCAUCAGUCCAAACAGUUGUCCAUGUACCAGUAGAAGAUUCGGCAGCUACUGCAGCCCCUGCUUCUUCGGGCGGAACCCCAGGUUGAGGAGAUACUCGGAAUGCUGCCAAGAUAUCAGUAUCCUUGGUUUCAUACUCCGGGGUGUAGUAAGUCAAUCUAUAAUCUUUAACACCAGCUUUAAAUCCAACACUUGCUUUAGUUUCUGUUUGUGGUGACAUAAGUCCCUCCUUACAACUCUUGAAUUAAGAAUUCUCACAAUAACAAGGUCUACUCGAUGUGAAUUAGGCGUAAAUGAAACUUUAGCAAAAAUCUCAUAAAAAAAAAGAGAUAUUCAAUUAAUAGCAACUCAUUACAGAAAAUUGAGGGCAUGCUUAAGUUAAUUAAUAUUUUUCAUUCAUAUAUAAUGCGUAUACCCUGUGUAUGUUCUAUCCUAUAGGAAUUUCACUAUAGGAAUUCGAUAGGAAUUGAGUUGUUGUUAUGGUAAGUUAACACCGUUCGUUAUUAAACCAAGGAUUUGAUUUAACAAAUCCAUCAUUAUUGUAUACUCUUUGAUAGAUAUAGCGCAACCCAAAUCAAUCCUUAACCUUUUUUUUUACAAAUUAUUAAAGGGCCCCUUUCUUAUUUUGAAAAGAAAUACCUAACUAAAUACUAAGAAAAUUUUCUGUUGACAGCAAUCUAUGCUUCACAGUAGUAUAUAUUUUGUAUAGCGAAGUCCUAGAUAGGAAAGUAGAGUAGGCACAGAUCCUCCACAAAAGGAAAAAUCUAUCUUAUGAAAAAAAGAUUGAUUGAACUUUCCAACGGCCUCAUUCCAUGAGUAAAGGGUUGAAAGGGAUUCGCUUGGGCAAUGAAAUCAAGUCCUGUUCCCCUUUUUUCUCUUAUUGAAUUAACUAAUUGAUUUCCUUUUUACUUUUGGAUUUUUGGAUAUUUUUUUGGAUUUGGUAUUAUUCAACAAGAAAAAAAUAAAAAUUUCGACAAAUUCCUUUUUUUUUUAUUAUGUGAUAAUUAUGAGAACCAAUCCUACUACUUCUCGUCCCGGGGUUUCCCCAAUUGAAGAAAAAAGUACAGGCCGUAUCGAUCAAAUUAUUGGACCCGUGCUGGACGUCACUUUUCCCCCCGGUAAGUUACCUUAUAUUUAUAACGCUUUGGUAGUCCAGAGUAGAGACACUGCCGAUAAGCAAAUUAAUGUGACUUGUGAGGUACAACAAUUAUUAGGAAAUAAUCGAGUUAGAGCUGUAGCUAUGAGUGCUACAGAUGGGUUGAUGAGAGGAAUGGAAGUGAUUGACACAGGAGCUCCUCUCAGUGUUCCGGUCGGCGGAGCUACUCUCGGGCGAAUUUUCAACGUUCUUGGGGAGCCUGUUGACAAUUUGGGUCCUGUAGAUAGUAGUGCAACGUUCCCUAUUCAUAGAUCUGCGCCUGCCUUUAUCGAGUUAGAUACGAAAUUAUCCAUCUUUGAAACAGGUAUUAAGGUCGUCGAUCUUUUAGCUCCUUAUCGACGUGGAGGAAAAAUAGGACUAUUUGGGGGGGCUGGAGUAGGUAAAACAGUACUCAUCAUGGAAUUAAUCAACAACAUUGCUAAAGCUCAUGGGGGCGUAUCCGUAUUUGGUGGAGUAGGGGAACGGACUCGUGAAGGAAAUGAUCUUUAUAUGGAAAUGAGGGAAUCCGGAGUAAUUAAUGAAAAAAAUAUUGAGGAAUCAAAGGUAGCUCUAGUCUAUGGCCAAAUGAAUGAACCACCGGGAGCUCGUAUGAGAGUUAGUUUAACUGCCCUAACUAUGGCGGAAUAUUUCCGAGAUGUUAAUAAGCAAGACGUGCUUUUAUUCAUCGAUAAUAUCUUUCGUUUUGUUCAAGCAGGAUCGGAGGUAUCCGCUUUAUUAGGGAGAAUGCCCUCCGCGGUGGGUUAUCAACCUACUCUUAGUACAGAAAUGGGUUCUUUGCAAGAAAGAAUUGCUUCUACUAAAAAGGGAUCUAUAACUUCGAUCCAAGCGGUUUAUGUACCUGCGGACGAUUUGACUGACCCUGCUCCUGCCACAACAUUUGCCCAUUUGGAUGCUACUACCGUACUUUCCAGAGGAUUAGCUUCCAAGGGUAUUUAUCCAGCAGUAGAUCCUUUAGAUUCAACCUCAACUAUGUUACAGCCUCGGAUCGUUGGCAACGAACAUUAUGAAACUGCGCAAAGUGUUAAGGAAACUUUACAACGUUACAAGGAACUUCAGGACAUUAUCGCAAUUCUUGGAUUGGAUGAAUUAUCGGAGGAGGAUCGUUUAACUGUAGCAAGAGCGCGAAAAAUUGAGCGUUUCUUAUCACAACCGUUCUUUGUAGCAGAAGUUUUUACUGGUUCUGCAGGAAAGUAUGUUGGUCUUGCAGAAACAAUUAGGGGAUUUCAACUAAUCCUUUCCGGAGAAUUAGAUGGCCUACCCGAGCAGGCUUUUUAUUUGGUGGGUAACAUCGAUGAAGCUAGCACGAAAGCUAUAACCUUAGAAGAGGAGAACAAAUCGAAGAAAUGAAAUUAAAUCUUUAUGUACUGACUCCUAAGCGAAUUAUUUGGGAUUGUGAAGUGAAAGAAAUCAUUUUAUCCACUAAUAGUGGUCAAAUUGGGGUAUUACCAAACCAUGCCCCCAUUAACACAGCAGUAGAUAUGGGUCCUUUGAGAAUACGCCUCCUCAAUGACCAAUGGUUAACGGCGGUUCUGUGGAGCGGUUUUGCGAGAAUAGUUAAUAAUGAGAUCAUUAUUUUAGGAAAUGAUGCGGAACUGGGUAGUGAUAUUGAUCCGGAAGAAGCUCAACAGGCACUUAAAAUAGCCGAAGAUAACUUGAGUAAAGCUGAGGGUACGAAAGAAUUGGUUGAAGCGAAACUAGCUCUCAGACGAGCUAGGAUACGAAUCGAGGCUGUCAAUUGGAUUCCCCCAUCCAAUUGAAGACAAUCCAAUGGUUUAUAGUUGAUACAAAGAUAAAGGGAAGAGGGGUAGAAAAAGUUAUUAGAUAGCGAAGCGAAAUAAGCCCAAUGCUAUCUAGUAAUUUUUCUACCUACCUACCUACUAUUGGAUUUGAACCAAUGACUCCCGCCGUAUGAAAGCAAUACUCUAACCACUGAGUUAAGUAGGCAAUUUAUGAUCACAAAGGAAGACCCAUUACUUCGAUCGAUUAUAUAUCGAAUCCCUUUUCUAAGCAAUAACGCUUCCUUAUUGGUAUGUUAUAUACUAAACAGAUACAUAUUUAAAGAGAUACCCUCUGGCAUUAGAGAAUAUUCAUCUUGACAAUAAAUUAUCUAUAUGUUAAGAUAUCUCUGAUAAGGGCUAUAGCUCAGUUCGGUAGAGCAACUCGUUUACACGUGCGCCAAUGCUUUUCAAAGGAGCUUAUUAUGCAAUGAAUAUUUUGGAUCUUAUUGCAAAAUCAAUGUCUUACUUCAUAGAUUCGACAGAAUAGGAGAACAGUAGCCUGACAAAGAGUCAGUUCAGUCCGAUUCAGGUCCCCAUUCUGGUGCCUAAUCAAAUCGAACCCUUAUGGAUUUGCUAGUUGAUAAGGUAAAUAUCCAGCCCACUAAAUGCUAGGCGUAAUGAGGAUAAGGGCCUCCAAAAAACUUCUUUUCGUUCUAUGAACUUUAAGGUGUAUGAAGUCUCAUAGUUAACUCUUGCAGUGGAACGAUAGAGACUCCAUUUCACUUAGGUUGAUUUAAUUUAGGCCGGAGGCAGACCUAAGUCAAGGUAAUCCUCCUUUGAAACACUUUGGUAUUGCUCCUAGAUAGACCAUAAUACAAAUAAUCAAUCAGAGCACAGGGAGCCAUCUCAUUAUCUUUCCGUAAAGAAAAACUAUGGUGGACUAACUGAUCUUUAAAUCAGUUGAUGAAAGAGCCCAAUGCAAAAAAAUGCAUGUUGGGUCUUUGAAACAGUUCGAAUCAUUUCGAUAAUAAUCUGUUUGAUCUGUUUUACCGAGAAGGUCUACGGUUCGAAUCCGUAUAGCCCUAAUAUGUCCUAUUUUUGGAUUUUAGUAUAGAUAUCCUAUGUUUUCCUUAGUAUAGCUUUUAUUUUCACAUUAGUACUUGUUUAUAGACUGGGCGGGCGCCUGCGACAUAGAAUAGGCGUAAAAGCAUUACCACAGGCUCAUUCAUCAAAAAUCAUAGAGAUAAGAAACGAAAAAGUGAUUUCUAUCAAAUCAAUAGAAGAAAAGAGCCCUUCCCUGAUUUGAAUCCCGCCCUUCUUCAAAUAGGGUAUCUCUAGACUUCCCUAUAAAAACUGCAAUGAUUUUCUCCAUCUUGCGAAUUUAUACUUUGUUUUAAGUAUAUUACUUUGCUUAUAUAUACAUUAUCUAAAUCGAUCUACUUAAAAUCCUAAAUAGAAAAAAAAAUAGAAAGAAUUAAAGUAAAGAGUAAAUAAGAAAACAGAAUAUUAUGUCUCAUAGUUCUGAAAUAGAGUUCCUUAUUUUUUUAUAGUAUUACUUCUCAGUCUACUGCAUAGACUAGUCCUCUUAUGUUAAUUAGGUUCUAAAGAUUAUAGAGAAAGCAAAAUAAAGUGAAGGGAUAAAGUAUUUUUUAUAUAAGAAUUAGAUCUAUACCAUAUCUAAAUAGAAUGGAAAAAAAAGAAGGGGAGUUGGGAUUCCAUUGGAUGAAUCUUUAAAGAAGACACAGCACAGAGAAAACAAAGGCUAAACUAAGCGAUUUUGUUUGAACAAAACAGAUUCUUGUUUCACCGAGGAAAAGAGAUAAGUUCUGGAUGAAUUGACAAUGCAUAAUUGAAUUGAUUAAUUUAAGUCUCGUCUAUUCUACAUUAAUGGGAGUACAUUAUGUUUCUGCUUCACGAAUAUGAUAUUUUUUGGACAUUUCUAAUAAUAGCAAGCCUUAUUCCGAUUUUGGCAUUUUGGAUUUCAGGGCUUUUAGCCCCGAUUAGUGAAGGACCCGAAAAGCUUUCUAGUUAUGAAUCGGGUAUAGAACCCAUGGGAGGGGCUUGGCUACAAUUCCGAAUACGCUAUUACAUGUUUGCGCUAGUUUUUGUUGUUUUUGAUGUGGAAACCGUCUUUCUCUACCCUUGGGCAAUGAGUUUCGACGUAUUGGGUGUAUCCGUUUUUAUCGAAGCUUUCAUUUUCGUGCUUAUCCUAGUUGUUGGUUUAGUUUAUGCAUGGCGAAAAGGAGCCUUGGAAUGGUCUUAACUGAAUAUUUAGAAAAAAAAAAAGAAGAAAAAGAUUCCAUUGAGACAGUUAUGAGUUUGAUUGAGUUUCCUUUACUUGACCAAACAAGUUCCAAUUCUGUUAUUUCAACUACACCAAACGAUCUUUCAAAUUGGUCAAGACUCUCCAGUUUAUGGCCCCUUCUAUACGGUACCAGUUGUUGUUUCAUUGAAUUUGCUUCAUUAAUAGGCUCGCGAUUCGACUUUGAUCGUUAUGGAUUGGUACCAAGAUCAAGUCCUAGGCAAGCGGACCUAAUUUUAACAGCUGGUACAGUAACAAUGAAAAUGGCUCCUUCUUUAGUGAGGUUAUACGAGCAAAUGCCUGAACCAAAAUACGUCAUUGCUAUGGGAGCUUGUACUAUUACAGGGGGAAUGUUCAGUACGGAUUCCUAUAGUACUGUUCGAGGAGUUGAUAAGUUAAUUCCUGUGGAUGUCUACUUGCCGGGUUGCCCACCUAAACCGGAGGCGGUUAUAGAUGCCCUAACAAAACUUCGUAAGAAGAUAUCGCGAGAAAUAGUUGAGGAUCGAAUUCGAUCUCAAAAUAAAAACCGAUGUUUUACUACCAGUCACAAGCUUUAUGUUCGGCGCAGUACUCAUACUGGAACUUACGAGCAAGAAUUGCUCUAUCAAUCACCAUCUACUUUAGAUAUAUCUUCUGAAAAUUUUUACAAAUCCAAAAGUAUAGUACCUUCCUACAAAUUAGUGAAUUAGGAGGGGGGUUCUUUUGUCUAGAAAAAUAAAAAGCAAGGCAAUCUUUGAAACUUGCAUCCGAAAUGUGAAAUAUUUAUACAAAACAAAGAGGGAGAGAUCAAGACAAUGCAGCAGGGUUGGUUAUCUAAUUGGCUAGUCAAACAUAAGGUGGUUCAUAGAUCUUUGGGCUUUGAUCACCGAGGAAUAGAGACUUUACAAAUAAAAGCGGGGGAUUGGGAUUCCAUUGCUGUCAUUUUAUACGUAUAUGGUUACAAUUAUUUACGCUCCCAAUGUGCUUAUGAUGUAGCACCCGGUGGAUCUUUAGCUAGCGUGUAUCAUCUUACGAGAAUACAGUAUGGCAUAGAUAACCCAGAAGAAGUAUGCAUAAAAGUCUUUGCCCAAAAGGAUAAUCCUAGAAUUCCGUCUGUCUUCUGGAUUUGGAGAAGUGCCGAUUUUCAAGAACGCGAAUCUUAUGAUAUGGUGGGAAUCUCUUAUGAUAAUCAUCCGCGCCUUAAACGUAUCCUAAUGCCUGAAAGUUGGGUAGGCUGGCCCUUACGUAAGGACUAUAUAACCCCCAAUUUCUAUGAAAUACAAGAUACUCAUUGAAUGAUAAGAAAUUCAUGCGGACUUAUACAACACAACUCCAGAUUUUAUUCAAGUAAAGGAAAAUUUUUACGUUCUGUUCCUAGAUGAAACGGAAUACCUAUUUCGAAUUAAUUCCUAUUAUACAAAAGUAGUCCAGAUAGACUGAGCAAAAAAAGGGUUUCAUUUGGAUUCCCUUAUUUGGAAAAUCACAUAUGAAUUUCCCUCAUAUGAACAGAAAAAUAUGAUGACUCAAAGAAGUUCUCUACCACGAACUUUGUAUCGCGCGCAUGACUUAGCACAAUUGGAAAAGUAAGAUAAGCAAGAAUAAAAAAAUAUUCGUCGUAAUAUGCAGAAUACAAAAUUAAGAAAUGCAAAAAAAAAUAAAGGGGAACCUAAUCUCACCUCCUUCUGUACCAUAAAGAAAAGAACCAGAGAUUUUUACCCUUCUCUAAAAAGAAAAAGAAGUGCCUCUAUAUUAGAGACUUAUCCACCUAGAUGAAUAAAUCAGACUUUAUUUAUAGUAUUAACGAAUAUGUAUCCUAAUCCAUCUUGAGGCAUUUUUAUCAAAACCUAUUCGGUAGAUCUUUUUUUUCUCUGCCAGGAACCAGAUUUGAACUGGUGACACGAGGAUUUUCAGUCCUCUGCUCUACCAACUGAGCUAUCCUGACCUUUUCUUGUGCAUCAUCCUAGUAGAGUAUUUGUAUCUAUGUCAAUUAAAGGGACUCAAAAAUCAAUUAAAGUAUUUCAAAUUCCAAAUUGAAAAAUGGGGGGGUGGUCCUAUGCAUUGUGCAUGGAUUACUUAAUAAUACUUAAAAAUAGAGUUAAUAACCGAGAGUCCUUGCGGAUACUCUAAUAAAAAAGAAAUCUAUUCAAUGAAUAGGAUAAGAUCCAUUGAGUUCUCUUCGCACUCCUUUGUGAAAGAGUAGAAUGAGAAAGCUAAUGAAUCUUAAACCCAUUGAUAAAAAGAAAAAAAGAGGAUAAAAGUUAGGGAAUAAAAGAGGAUAGUUGGGGAAUAAAAAGGAUUUGGGGAUAGAGGGACUUGAACCCUCACAACUUAUAAAGUCGACGGAUUUUCCUUUUACUCGAAAUUUCAUUGUUGUCAGUAUUGACAUGUAGAAUGGGACUCUCUCUUUGUCCUCGUCCGAUUAAUCCACUUUUUAAAAGAUCUCAAGUACUUUGAAUUGAAGGAUUUGAUUACUCAAGAUUCAAUUAGAAUGGAUUCACAAUAAUUCUAAAAAAUUUAUUAAUUUUUUAUUUCAUAAUCCUUCCUAAUUUCAUUCUAAAAAAGAAUAAAGAACCUAUGUUAUACUUGGAUUCUGUGAUUAAUCGUUUACUAUGUUAGUAUCUAUACGUGUUUAUUAGAUGUAAAAAUCCCUUCUUUCUCUAAUUUAAAAGGAUUUCCACUACCAAAACAACCUAAAUAAAUUAACUCGAUUCGUUAGAACAGCUUCCAUUGAGUCUCUGCACCUAUCCUUUUCCUUUGGAUUCUAGUUCGAGAACCCCUUGUUUUCUCAAAACACGGAUUUGGCUCAGGAUUGCCCUUUUUUAAUUCCAGGGUUUCUCUGAAUUUGGAAGUUAACACUUAGCAGGUUUCCAUACUAAGGCUCAAUACAAUCAAGUCCGUAGCGUCUACCGAUUUCGCCAUAUCCCCAUUUUCCUUUUUUUUUGAGACCUGGAUUCCUUGCGUAAUUUCAUCCAUCUCUUAGUUUUUUUGGAAUCGUUGAAUUCAUCACUCGACGUCAUCUAGCAGUUCGAUUCUAUUUGAGAGACCACGCUUGUUUAUUGCAAUUCAGAAUUGCAUUGAUUCUAUCGUUGCUGUAUUUGCAAUUCAAUCCGAAUCAAUAUAUCCCAAAAAUUUUCUCUCCCCCACCGCUCAUCUUACUUUUUUAGAGUAUUAAAAAUCAUACUAUAACGCUUGAUAUUCAUUUUUUUUCUACUCAAAAUUGGCAAUUUUAUUUGCUAUGACUUUAUGUUCUCCUUAGAGAAAUAGGAAUCCUCAAAUUAUUAACAAAUAAAAAAAGAUCUAAAAAAAUGUCUAUAAUGAUCGAAUGAAAACACCAAUAAAUUCGUAUUUUCCCCUUAUUAUUUCUUUAAUAUAUAUAUAUUAUUAUAUCUUUAAUAUAUUUCAUAAUAUAUAUAUAUAUUUCUUUUCUAUGUAUUAGAUUAUUCGUCCGAGCUAUAUCAAAUUGAAAAUAUCUGAAAUCAAAUUCAAUAUAGAAAUUGGAAUCAACUCUUAGAAAAAAGAUUUGCGAAUUAGAGAAAUAAAAAGAAAGUUCAAUAAAUUCUAUACUUUUAUUUAAGGAUAUCCUCUAGUUAAGCAUAUCAAGCUAACUUUAUCUUUAAAAAGUUCUAGUAUUUUUUUAAGUAGAACUUCAAAUUGAGAACUAGUUAAUAGCUAAGAUUAAUAACUAAGAUCUCAGAUUUUACGGAUUUCUAUACUAUACCUAUUUCUAUUUGUUACACUAUUUCUGCUAUCUAAGCCCACUUAGCUCAGAGGUUAGAGCAUCGCAUUUGUAAUGCGAGGGUCAUCGGUUCAAAUCCGAUAGUCGGCUUUUUUUUCGUUAUCGAUGUUCUACGAACAAGAAUCUCUUUUUUUUUUCGGAUUAAAUGGGGAAUCCAGGAUCUUUUUUGUUUUCUACCUUACAAUUUUGCUAGAUACAAAAGAAUAAAAUAAAUAAUAUAUAUACAAAAAAUCCAGAUGUUGAUGAAAUUCUAUUUUUUAUGGUACUUUAGUUGAUUUUACUCUGUUUAUCCUUUAGUUUAAUUCAGUUUUAAUUUCGAUGUAUUCCGUAAUGUAAAUACAAUGAAAUUAAUUGUGUAAAAUGAAAUUUCAAUAAAAUAAAAAAGGAGUUUUCAUGUCCCGUUAUCGAGGACCUCGUUUAAAAAAAAUACGCCGUCUGGGAGCUUUACCAGGACUCACUAGAAAAACACCUAAAUCCGGAAGUAAUCUGAAAAAGAAAUUCCAUUCUGGGAAAAAGGAGCAAUAUCGUAUUCGUCUUCAAGAAAAACAGAAAUUGCGUUUUCAUUAUGGUCUGACAGAACGACAAUUACUUAGAUAUGUACAUAUCGCUGGAAAAGCAAAAAGGUCCACAGGUCAGGUUUUACUACAAUUACUUGAAAUGCGUUUGGAUAAUAUCCUUUUUCGAUUGGGUAUGGCGGCAACCAUUCCUGGGGCCCGCCAAUUAGUCAACCAUAGACAUAUUUUGGUUAAUGGUCGUAUAGUUAAUAUACCAAGUUUUCGUUGCAAACCUCGAGAUAUUAUUACUACGAAAGAUAACCAAAGAUCACAAAGUCUGGUUCAAAAUUCUAUUGCUUCAUCCGACCCGGGAAAAUUGCCAAAGCAUUUGACGAUUGACACAUUGGAAUAUAAAGGACUAGUAAAUAAAAUCCUAGAUAGGAAGUGGGUAGGUCUCAAAAUAAAUGAGUUGUUAGUUGUAGAAUAUUACUCUCGUCAGACUUGAACUUAACGAAAAAAGGAAAGGUUCAUAGAAUUUUCUUCCCCUUUUCCCGAACUAAAUCGACCUAAGGCCCUAAUUCGUAUUUUCCUACUCAACUAGCAAAAAUGGAUUAACCCGAGGAUCCUUUUUUCUUUUUUGUUCUUUUCUCUAUGUGUAUUUUUACAUACCACAGUAAUUUGCUAUAGAGAAUUUCUAUUAAAUAAGGGUAAGGGUAUUAUUGCUGGAAUAAAUUGUUAUUUGAUUUGAUACACUGUGCUCCUUAACGUUGAUGAAUUAAGAAAAACGGAAAGAGAGGGAUUCGAACCCUCGGUAAACAAAAGUCUACAUAGCAGUUCCAAUGCUACGCCUUGAACCGCUCGGCCAUCUCUCCCACAUAACUCAUUAUGGCAAAUAAACUGAGUAAAUAGCGAGUUUUCCUAUUCCUGCAGUACAAGUACAACCGCUCAGGGGUUCCAUAGUUCUAUUGGAAAAAUUCCUUUUGAUCUAAGUUAAGUGGAAGGAUCCAGGAUUUUUUUACUAGGAAUUGCUUCCCCUAUAAAAGUUUUAGUUUGGAUUUUCCUAAAACCAAAGAAAAAGAGAAUGGAAGAAUUCUUCUUAUUGCAUAAUAAAAUAAAGAAACCUUAGAAUUCUGUUUGCAUAAGGUACGCUACACCAGACUAUCGAAAUCGAAAAUAAGGUAUGAGACAAUUAAUAACUUUGAAAACACGAAAUAGCUGAUGAGCGAAGUUGUUGUUGAGAAAUAGGAAAGUAGAAUCAAACCCAGUCUUAGUCAAAUAUUUAAUAUAUCUUCUUGUCCAAACAGAAAGAAAAGGAAAAAAUUAAAGCUGAGCGGAAAAUCCAUACCUCUCUUAUCGAUUUAGAGCAUAUGGAUCGAUCUAGUUAUAAGAAUCAAAUGUGUUUGUUUUUAUGUUAUUUUGUGAAGGAAUGAAAACAAUUUUAUCAUAGAAUGGGUUGGGAAUUAUGCCUAGAUCCCGUGUAAAUGGAAAUUUCAUUGAUAAGACCUCCUCAAUUGUAGCCAAUAUUUUAUUGCGAAUAAUUCCAACAACCUCAGGGGAAAAAAGGGCAUUUACUUAUUAUAGAGAUGGUGCGAUUUGACUCUUUUUUUUUGUUUUUUUUAGCCCUACCUACACCUCAGUCUUCUGAUAAGGAGAGGGGGUUCGCAUAGAGAGAACAAAAUUAGUAAAGCAAACCCACGCUUUGGGAAGGUGAGGUUAAUUAACAAUUCCUUCUAUCGUGUAUCCUCGAUUGAUGCGGCCUCAGAUGCUUCAAUUGUAGAUUUAAGUAUUGAGCGAAAGGUUACACCUAACAGGAUAGGUUAUGGAUUACAGGCCAAUCCUACUCUAUUAGUACCAAUAGGCAGCACAUAGGGGAGAAAAGCACUACACCUAAAAAUAGGAAUCAACAAGAGAAAAACUUUGUUAUAAAUUAACCCUUUCCUAAUCGAUAUCAGGGCUGGGAAGAAUGGUUGGGAUAAUAAACAACCAUCAGGUUUGUACUUUGGAUACCCCUAUAACCAUCAAAGAUCGUUGAAGUGGCUAAUUCCUCUAAAUAGAAGGCGUUGAGAACAAAGAAAUUCUUGGAGCUAUGAUUUUCCUCUAGCAUUAAUAGAAUUCAUAGAAUUCAUUGGUGUUAGGAAAAACCUCUUGCGGGAAGGUUGGCUAGAGAUUUCUUGGAAAAAUACCAGCCCCUUUCGGUCCAUAAUGAGACGGGACUAAUUUGAUUCUAUAGAUUAUUUCGCUUAGUACUAUGUACAGAAGGGAGGAGCCGUAUGAGAUGAAAACCUCAUGUACGGUUUUGGAACGGAGAUUUUUUGAAUAGAAUGAACGACCGUAACGGAUGUUGGCUCAAUCCGAAGGAAAUUAUGCGGAAGCUUUGCAAAAUUAUUAUGAAGCUACGCGACUAGAAAUCGAUCCCUACGAUCGAAGUUAUAUACUCUAUAACAUAGGCCUUAUACACACAAGCAAUGGAGAGCAUACAAAGGCUUUGGAAUAUUAUUUCCGGGCACUAGAGCGAAACCCCUUCUUACCGCAAGCUUUUAAUAAUAUGGCUGUGAUCUGUCAUUACGUGCGACUAUCUCCACUAUAGAAAGAAAAAAAGAAAGAAUCAAAUUUCUAGUAAAUACUAGACAAAAGGGUCUUUCUACAUAGGGGUCGUAAAAACAACGAUUUUUCCCUAUCAGCUGUAGGAAGGAAAGACACUUCACGAGAAUCAAAAAAGGAAGAAAGUAUGGCCUAUACUACUACUCUAUGGAUAAAGUUCUCAAAUUGAUAGAGAAAGCACCGUAAAGAUCAAUUAGUGAGCGACUUGGUCGAUACAACUAAAAAAAACUGCUUACUUAUCCCAUGAUAUGGGGCAAAGUUUAGGAAUCUGCUUAUGUAAUAGAGCCGAUCCACUAAGGGAUUAAGCAGCGGUGUAGUAUCAGAUCCCAAAGAUAGUAAGUUCUUUUUUCUUUCUUAUCUUAUGGGAAAAAGUCUUUUUCAAGGAUUCUAUAGGGAUUUCAUAUAUGAAACCGGGAUAGUUACUUUUCAGAAAAUUCGAACGAAAGCUCUCGAUCUAUCUAUGCUUCAUUCUUCUGAAGGUGGGAAAAAAGAUCAAACUGAUUAGUUAUAAAAAUUAGGGUUUGAAACUUAGGUAAUUAACUUCUUCUGCUUAACCCAAAAACAAAUUGGAUCGAUUUUUCAAAAAUCGAAUUCAGUUAAGAUAGGGGAAAUUAAGAUAGCAAUUUCUGAGCCGUAUGAGGUAGGAAACUCUCAAGUACGGUUCUAGGGGAAGGAACUGCCUAUUCCGACCGAGGAGAACAGGCCAUUCUACAGGGUGAUUCAGAAAUUGCAGAAGCUUGGUUUGAUCAAGCUGCUGAGUAUUGGAAACAAGCUAUAGCGCUUACUCCGGGAAAUUAUAUUGAAGCACAGAACUGGUUGAAGAUUACGAAGCGCUUUGAAUUUGAAUAAGACCACGUUCCUUUUUCAUAUAAAUUAGGUCGUAAGAUCGAAUCAAGAAUUUCAUUAUAUCCCGUUCGUCUUUCUUCUACCUUCUAUUUUAUAUGAGAUUUUAUAAGGAUAAACCAGAGGGAUAGGAUCUAGAAUAGAAGUAAUAAAGCGAAUAAAAAGAGGGGCAAUCUAAAUACUGCUAAUAUAUCAAGACCAUCUUAUUAAUUCUUAAAUAAUUCUAAUGAGUUAUCUUGGAAUUUAGAAUCAAAUAAAAAAUCCUAUAUUACGCUCAAGGAAAGUAGAUGUAGAUAGGAGCUUAUACUCUCAAAAAAAAAUACACCAGUUUAUUAAAUUUUAAAAAGAUUUUUUUCUUACAUCGGGAAAUAUAUACAUAUAUAUAUAUAUUUUUUUUUCAAGAUAUAUAAUGUCCGUUAGGCACCUAAUCCUUAUGUCAUAAUAGAUCCGAACACUUGCCUAGGAUUGACUUCAAUAUAUAAUUGCUCCAGUGAAUAACUAUAAAAAAAUAGAAGGACGGUAGAUAGUAAAGAAAAGAACUAAUCAUAAUAUCUAUCUUUCAAAAUCUAUCUUUCAAAGAUUCACUAAAAAGACAGUUGGCAGGUCUCUUUAUAUGUCUUGUCCGGAAAGAGGAGGACUUAAUGAUUAUUCGUUCGCCGGAACCAGAAGUAAAAAUUAUUGUGGAUAGGGAUCCUGUAAAAACAUCUUUUGAGGAAUGGGCCAGACCCGGCCAUUUCUCAAAAACACUAGCUAAGGGCCCUGAUACUACCACUUGGAUCUGGAACCUACAUGCUGAUGCUCACGAUUUCGAUAGUCAUACGGGUGAUUUGGAGGAGAUCUCUCGAAAAGUCUUUAGUGCUCAUUUCGGGCAACUCUCCAUUAUCUUUCUUUGGUUGAGUGGCAUGUACUUCCAUGGUGCCCGUUUUUCCAAUUAUGAAGCAUGGCUAAGUGAUCCUACUCACAUUGGACCCAGUGCUCAGGUGACCCUUUCGUUUCCUUCGUCUCUCGAAGGUGCGAUCUGCACUGUUAGUUGGGGAUCGACCUCGUUCAUUGUGAACUGAGUCCUCUCCAUCC